GUUUCCAGACGCUCUCAAGUCCCCAAGAAGUUUUCCGCUCUAUCUCCCAGCCGACCCAGGUAUGGCGGAAAGGCGCUGACUGGCCCCGGAACCUCCGAGGUGCGACCCCAGCAAACCAAGUCCCCUCCUCACCUAAGGCGACGCGGCAGGUCAUUCCGGACUCCUGACGCCGCCAGUCCCUUGGUGAGAAGUGAGCGCCAUUGGCGUCUGUGGCCUCUGUUUCCGUGGCAACCCAGUAACCAUUAAUUUUCAAUUAAAGGAGACAAAAAGCUCGAUGACAGCUCCAGGUCUGCUGAAGAUGUCAAGAAUCUGUAUUAAUAUACAGCAAGAGAGCAUAAUUGUGUGUCCAUCUUCCAGAGCAGCGAAAAAUGGAGGGAUAAUUACCAGCUCGAAAGCCACUCUGUAAUUUAGUUCUUACUGUCACCACAGCCCUACACAUUAGCAUAAAUUAAAAGCAGAGUUUAUUGUUAUCAAAGUGCA